UACGAAGGGGGCUAGCGUUGUUCGGAAUCACUGGGCGUAAAGCGCAUGCAGGCGGAUCGUUAAGUCGGGGGUGAAAUCCCGAGGCUCAACCUCGGAACUGCCUCCGAUACUGGCGAUCUUGAGUCCGGAAGAGGUGAGUGGAAUUGCGAGUGUAGAGGUGAAAUUCGUAGAUAUUCGCAAGAACACCAGUGGCGAAGGCGGCUCACUGGUCCGGUACUGACGCUGAGAUGCGAAAGCGUGGGGAGCAAAC
rnacentral:rRNA from 1 species